rnacentral:rRNA from 1 species
GGAAGUCAGCCUUCCGAGGGACACUGCCUGGCAGGCAGUUUGACUGGGGCGGUCGCCUCCUAAACUGUAACGGAGGCGUGCGAAGGUUCCCUCAGCCGAUUGGAAACCGGGCGUGGAGUGACAAACGCAUAAGGGAGCUUAACUGUGAGACCGACAGGUCGAACAGAUGCGAAAGCAGGUGUUAGUGAUCCGGUGAGCCCAUAUGGAAGGGCCAUCGCUUAUCGGAUAAAAGGUACUCUGGGGAUAACAGGCUGAUCGCGCCUGAGAGUUCACAUCGGCGGCGCGGUUUGGCACCUCGAUGUCGGCCCAUCGCAUCCUGGGGCUGGAGCAGGUCCCCAAGGGUUCGGCUGUUCGCCGAUUAAAGCGGUACGCGAGCUGGGUUUAAAAC